UACGGGAGGCAGCAGUGGGGAAUAUUGCACAAUGGGCGCAAGCCUGAUGCAGCCAUGCCGCGUGUAUGAAGAAGGCCUUCGGGUUGUAAAGUACUUUCAGUCGUGAGGAAGGUGUUAAGGUUAAUAACCUUAGCAAUUGACGUUAGCGACAGAAGAAGCACCGGCUAACUCCGUGCCAGCAGCCGCGGUAAUACGGAGGGUGCGAGCGUUAAUCGGAAUUACUGGGCGUAAAGGGCACGCAGGCGGUUAAUUAAGUUGGAUGUGAAAUCCCCGGGCUUAACCUGGGAAUGGCAUUCAAGACUGGUUAGCUAGAGUCUUGUAGAGGGGGUAGAAUUCCAUGUGUAGCGGUGAAAUGCGUAGAGAUGUGGAGGAAUACCGGUGGCGAAGGCGGCCCCGUGGACAAAGACUGACGCUCAUGUGCGAAAGCGUGGGGAGCAAACAGGAUUAGAUACC
rnacentral:rRNA from 1 species